AACGAACGCUGGCGGCAUGCUUAACACAUGCAAGUCGAACGCGUGGCCUUGGGUUCGCCUGGGGUCAUGAGUGGCGCACGGGUGAGUAGCGCGUGGGAACCUGCCCUGUUGUGGGGGAUA
rnacentral:rRNA from 1 species